UACGUAGGGGGCAAGCGUUGUCCGGAUUUAUUGGGCGUAAAGAGCUCGUAGGUGGUCUGUUACGUCUGCUGUGAAAUCCUAGGGCUUAACCCUGGGCCUGCAGUGGAUACGGGCAGACUAGAGUGUGGUAGGGGAGACUGGAAUUCCUGGUGUAGCGGUGAAAUGCGCAGAUAUCAGGAGGAACACCGAUGGCGAAGGCAGGUCUCUGGGCCACUACUGACGCUGAGAAGCGAAAGCAUGGGGAGCGAACAGG
rnacentral:rRNA from 1 species